rnacentral:rRNA from 1 species
CUACGGGUCGCUGCAGUGGGGAAUAUUGGACAAUGGGGGGAACCCUGAUCCAGCCAUGCCGCGUGUGUGAAGAAGGCCUUUUGGUUGUAAAGCACUUUAAGCGAGGAGGAGGCUACCGAGAUUAAUACUCUUGGAUAGUGGACGUUACUCGCAGAAUAAGCACCGGCUAACUCUGUGCCAGCAGCCGCGGUAAUACAGAGGGUGCAAGCGUUAAUCGGAUUUACUGGGCGUAAAGCGCGCGUAGGUGGCCAAUUAAGUCAAAUGUGAAAUCCCCGAGCUUAACUUGGGAAUUGCAUUCGAUACUGGUUGGCUAGAGUAUGGGAGAGGAUGGUAGAAUUCCAGGUGUAGCGGUGAAAUGCGUAGAGAUCUGGAGGAAUACCGAUGGCGAAGGCAGCCAUCUGGCCUAAUACUGACACUGAGGUGCGAAAGCAUGGGGAGCAAACAGGAUUAGAUACCCCAGUAGUC